rnacentral:misc_RNA from 1 species
CAAGGUACGUUAUUACUGCAGACACCAUACUUGAAACACAAACAUGGGCCGAAGUUGAUAAUACUACAUAAAAAGUAGGAUCAUAAAGCAAAACAAAGCACCUUAGCAUCUUAACAAGGUUCAAUCAUUUUUUAUUUAUUUUUAGUAAGAAAAGGUAACAUAAUACUAGAAGGGCAUUUUAGAUAAUGCCUUGUCAAGUUGGCUCCAUUUUUGUUCCAAUGAUCCAUUAUACCCAAUUGACAUCCGCACCAAUCCAGGUGAAAUCCCAGCCAACUCCUUCUCUUCAUUGUUCAGCUCGCUGCUUGUGCUAGAGCCAGAGCACGACAUGAGAGUCUCGUAAUAUCCCAAACUCACAGCCAUGAACCCAAAUUGGGUAAAGUUUUGCAAGACAUUCAUCAAACGAUUCGCACGUUCCUCAGUUUCCAUGUCCACGCAAAGAAUUCCCCCAUAACCAUACUCUUUAUUAGCCAUGGACUUGAUAAGUACAUGAUCUGGAUGGUCUUCUAGGCCUGGAUACAUCACUUUGAGCCCAAGUUUGGUCAUCCUAGUACCAUAUUCCAAAGCCCGUUUGCAGUGCUCUUUCAUUCUCAGCCCCAAGUGAGGAAGCCUUUCUGCAAGUUCAAACGCAACUUUCGGGUUCAUAGUUGGGCCCAAUAGCAUAAGAGACCCUUGAUGAAGAUCCAUCAUGGAGUUCACAAGACUUGCUGGCCCACAAACAGCACCUGCAAUG